rnacentral:rRNA from 1 species
AAUGAACGCUGGCGGCAGGCCUAACACAUGCAAGUCGAACGGAUCCUUCGGGAUUAGUGGCGGACGGGUGAGUAACGCGUGGGAACAUACCCUUUGGUACGGAAUAGCCUCGGGAAACUGGGAGUAAUACCGUAUGCGGUCGAGAGACGAAAGAUUUAUCGCCAAAGGAUUGGCCCGCGUUGGAUUAGGUAGUUCGUGGGGUAAUGGCCUACCAAGCCGACGAUCCAUAGCUGGUUUGAGAGGAUCAUCAGCCACACUGGGACUGAGACACGGGCCAGACUCCUACCGGAGGCAGCAAUGGGGAAUGUUACACAACUGGGGAAACCCUGUUCUCGACGUGCUGCGUAAUCGAUGAAGGCCUUAGGGUUGUUUAGAUCUUUCAGCUGGCAAGUUCAUGACUGUACCACCAGAAGAAGCCCCGGCUAACUCCGUGCCAGCAGCCGCCGUAA